rnacentral:rRNA from 1 species
UGGGGAAUAUUGCACAAUGGGCGAAAGCCUGAUGCAGCAACGCCGCGUGAGUGAUGAAGGCCUUCGGGUUGUAAAGCUCUGUCUUUUGGGACGAUAAUGACGGUACCAAAGGAGGAAGCCACGGCUAACUACGUGCCAGCAGCCGCGGUAAUACGUAGGUGGCAAGCGUUGUCCGGAUUUACUGGGCGUAAAGGAUGCGUAGGCGGAUUUUUAAGUGAGAUGUGAAAACCCUAAGCUUAACUUGGGGACUGCAUUUCAUACUGGAAAUCUAGAGUGCGGGAGAGGAGAAUGGAAUUCCUAGUGUAGCGGUGAAAUGCGUAGAGAUUAGGAAGAACACCAGUGGCGAAGGCGAUUCUCUGGACCGUAACUGACGCUGAGGCAUGAAAGCGUGGGUAGCAAACAGGAUUAGAUACCCUGGUAGUCCACGCCGUAAACGAUGAGUACUAGGUGUAGGAGGUAUCGACCCCUUCUGUGCCGCAGUUAACACAAUAAGUACUCCGCCUGGGAAGUACGAUUGCAAGAUUAAAAACUCAAAGGAAUUGAC